rnacentral:rRNA from 1 species
GUUGCUCACACUGGACCAUGUAUAAGUCUUCUGGAAUGAAGCGUCAUAGAGGGUGAGAAUCCCGUCUUUGACAUGGACUCCCAGUGUAUUUGUAGCAUGCUCUCAAAGAGUCGAGUUGUUUGGGAAUGCAGCUCUAAAUGGGUGGUAACCUCCAUCUAAAGCUAAAUAUUGGCGAGAGACCGAUAGUGAACAAGUACCGUGAGGGAAAGAUGAAAAGAACUUUGGAAAGAGAGUUAAAAAGUACGUGAAAUUGUUGAAAGGGAAACGCUUGAAGUCAGUCACAUUGGCCAGGGAUCAACUUUGCUUAAGUGUACUUCCUGGGCUGAUGGGCCAACAUCAGCUUUGACUGUCAGAGAAGGGUAGGGGGAAUGUGGCACCCUUCUUGGGUGUGUUAUAGCCCUCUGUCAUAUAUGGCCGUUGGGGCUGAGGAAUGCAGCGCGCCACAAGGCCGGGCUUCGACCACGUUCGCGCUUAGGAUGUUGGCAUAAUGGCUUUAAUCGACCCGUCUUGAAACACGGACCAAGGAGUCUAACAUGCCUGCGAGUGUUUGGGUGGAAAACCCGAGUGCAUAAUGAAAGUGAAAGUUGAGAUCCCUGUCAUGGGGUGCAUCGACGCCCGGACCUGAGCUUUCUAGCAAUGGCUCUGCGGUAUAGCAUGUAUGUUGGGACCCGAAAGAUGGUGAACUAUGCCUGAAUAGGGCGAAGCCAGAGGAAACUCUGGUGGAGGCUCGUAGCGAUUCUGACGUGCAAAUCGAUCGUC